UACAGAGGUCUCAAGCGUUGUUCGGAUUCAUUGGGCGUAAAGGGUGCGUAGGCGGCGCGGUAAGUCGGGUGUGAAAUCUUGGAGCUUAACUCCGAAACUGCAUUCGAUACUGCCGUGCUUGAGGACUGGAGAGGAGACUGGAAUUUACGGUGUAGCGGUGAAAUGCGUUGAUAUCUAACAGGAACUCCGGUGGCGAAGGCGGACACGCUGGACCUUUUCUGACGCUGAGGCGCGAAAGCCAGGG
rnacentral:rRNA from 1 species